rnacentral:rRNA from 1 species
UGGGGAAUAUUGCACAAUGGGCGCAAGCCUGAUGCAGCCAUGCCGCGUGUAUGAAGAAGGCCUUCGGGUUGUAAAGUACUUUCAGUCGGGAGGAAGGUGUCAAGGUUAAUAACCUUGGCAAUUGACGUUACCGACAGAAGAAGCACCGGCUAACUCCGUGCCAGCAGCCGCGGUAAUACGGAGGGUGCAAGCGUUAAUCGGAAUUACUUGGCGUAAAGCGCACGCAGGCGGUUGAUUGAGUCAGAUGUGAAAUCCCCGGGCUUAACCCGGGAAUUGCAUCUGAUACUGGUCAGCUAGAGUCUUGUAGAGGGGGGUAGAAUUCCAUGUGUAGCGGUGAAAUGCGUAGAGAUGUGGAGGAAUACCGGUGGCGAAGGCGGCCCCCUGGACAAAGAAUGACGCUCAGGUGCGAAAGCGUGGGGAGCAAACAGG